GCGGGUGGCUGGGUGGGUGCACGGGGUGGCGGGCGGGCGCGAGCCGGGGCCUCCGCGCUGAACGGUUGGACGCUAGGGGGCCUGCGAGCUUCCAGCCUCCCGAUCCCGGGAGAAAAAUGACCGGCCGUCCUGGGCCGCGGAGCCGGGGAGCGUCUGGAGGUGACGAAGUUGAGGGAUCCGCCGAAGUCUUUCUCGACUCGACUUCACGCGGCGAUCACCCCGCGGACGGGGUUGAUUCGGAGCCACCACGUUUGUUUCCGAGGGGUCGUUCGAGAUGAAGGCUUCCAAAUGAGACCUACUUGCGAGGCUUCCCGUCGCCGGGGUCAAGACCUGUGAGAGGAAGAAGGACGCAAGCAGAGGAGGAAUGAAGCUGGUCCCACAGUCCGUCAGCCAGCCCUGGCGCUGUGGAGUGAGCACUGCUCUUCAGAGGUCCCGAGUGAGUGCCUGCCUGCAAAGUGUAUGCAAAGUCUUUGCAUACAGGCUGCCCCAGGAAGGGCAUCAUUUUGGGGUGGGUCAGGAGGGGGGGAUGACAACAACUUUGACACAUUCUGAAGGAGGUGACAGAUGGAGGCCAUCUACUGACCACUGCUGUACAGCUGUACAGCUGGGGAAGGAUCUAAGUGGCACCACCCCAACCCUGCCCAUGGGAGAUAAGAGGACAUAGGACCUAAUACACAAGUGAAAGAGUUGAUACAUACGUCUUAGUCUGUGUUCUGUUAAGUGCCUGGGACUGAGCAAUUGGUAAACAAUAGAAGUUUACUUACUUUAUGGUUCUGGAGGCUGAAGAGUCCAAGAGCAUGGUGCCAGCCAUCAAGUGCUGCUGUGUCAUGUGGGGACAGAGAGAGAGAAAGAGAGAGAGAGAGAGAGCGCACAAGCGCAGGUACACUAGGG
rnacentral:lncRNA from 1 species